GGAAAUCUUAAUUAGCCCUAGUAUUUGUUACUUAUUAGUGUUGUUGCAAACUUGUACUAAAUAAUCAUGUGGGUUGAUAUAGAAAGAAAAUGAAAGGGAAAAAUAAAUGGGAAAAUUGUGUUAUAUAGUGGUUGAAGAAGACUUUAAGGGCAAAAGUGAUAAGGUGUAAAAUAUAUAGAUUGAAGGGACUAUGUAUUGAUGACUUUAAGAUGUGUAAUUUCUGGCAAUGUUUCU
rnacentral:lncRNA from 1 species